rnacentral:rRNA from 1 species
UCGAGAAUUUUUCUCAAUGGGCGAAAGCCUGAAGGAGCGACGCCGCGUGGAGGAUGAAGGUCUUCGGAUCGUAAACUCCUGUCAUGAGAGAGUAAGACAUUACGUUAACUGCGUGGAUGUUUGAUAGUACCUCAAGAGGAAGAGACGGCUAACUCUGUGCCAGCAGCCGCGGUAAUACAGAGGUCUCAAGCGUUGUUCGGAUUCAUUGGGCGUAAAGGGUGCGUAGGCGGCUUGGUAAGUCAGAUGUGAAAUCCUGGGGCUCAACCUCGGAACUGCAUUUGAUACUGCCAGGCUAGAGUACUGGAGAGGAGACUGGAAUUUACGGUGUAGCAGUGAAAUGCGUAGAUAUCGUAAGGAAGGCCAGUGGCGAAGGCGAGUCUCUGGACAGUAACUGACGCUGAGGCACGAAGGCCAGGGGAGCAAACGGG